rnacentral:rRNA from 1 species
UACGGAGGGUGCGAGCGUUUGUCCGGAAUCAUUGGGCGUAAAGGGCGCGUAGGUGGCCUGCUAAGCGUGCGGUGAAAGCCCGGGGCUCAACCCCGGGUCGGCCGUGCCGACUGUAAGACUAGAGUGCUGUAGGGGCAGGCGGAAUUCCGGGUGUAGCGGUGGAAUGCGCAGAUAUCAGGAGGAACACCAAUGGCGAAGGCAGAUCUCUGGGCCGUAACUGACGCUGAGGAGCGAAAGCAUGGGGAGCGAACAGG